rnacentral:lncRNA from 1 species
CGGGAAACUGGGCCAAAGAAUCUGUGAGACCGCCAUGCUAUGGGAGUUGGCUCUAACAAGCUAGCUUCCUUUCUCUUUGCAACGAUCUCUUCUGUUUUGGGAUUUAUUUUAUUUUGGGUUAAGGGAAGAGUAUUUUGUCAGGGGAGUUCUUUAACAAGUACUCCUCUGUUAUUAGUGUUCAGAUUGGGGUUUUGGACCUGUGUAUUAAAUUGCCUUUGUCCCUAGCUACUAGCUACUCUUUCAAAUAGGGUAUAUUCCUGUU